AACGAACGCUGGCGGCAGGCUUAACACAUGCAAGUCGAGCGCCCCGCAGGGGGAGCGGCAGACGGGUGAGUAACGCGUGGGAAUCUACCGAGCCCUACGGAAUAGCUCCGGGAAACUGGAAUUAAUACCGUAUACGCCUUUCGGGGGAAAGAUUUAUCGGGGUUUGAUGAGCCCGCGUUGGAUUAGCUAGUUGGUGGGGUAAAGGCCUACCAAGGCGACGAUCCAUAGCUGGUCUGAGAGGAUGAUCAGCCACAUUGGGACUGAGACACGGCCCAAACUCCUACGGGAGGCAGCAGUGGGGAAUAUUGGACAAUGGGCGCAAGCCUGAUCCAGCCAUGCCGCGUGAGUGAUGAAGGCCCUAGGGUUGUAAAGCUCUUUCACCGGUGAAGAUAAUGACGGUAACCGGAGAAGAAGCCCCGGCUAACUUCGUGCCAGCCGCCGCCGUAACAC
rnacentral:rRNA from 1 species